GCAGGCUGGUGGGGCUGGGGCUGGCGCUUUCCUUGCCAGUCCCCCGGUGUUUCCUGGGGAUGUGAGUGACAGGUGUCUGAAUCACUGUGCUGCCAGGAGAUGUCUGCCGGCCUCAGGAUCAGAACAGCCUCCGCCCUGUCGGCGCUUCCCACAGCGCCCUGCUGAAGGGUCACUACGGUACUUUCAGCUUCAGGGUCGAUUUGCUUGGUCUUCAGCACAGGCUUUUUAGGAAGAAAAUCUGUGGUGAGCUACACAUUCUGGAGUGCACCGUUGUGACCGGGGUACACUCUGCAGGGUCAUCGCGCCCAUUCACGCUGGGGAGCCACCGCCGUUCCCUCCUGCCCGCGCCUGCCCCACUCCGUCCCUCCCCGUCACUGUGGAUCCGACUCCUCUGGGACCUCCUGUAGGCAGCAUCGUGUGCCUGGUGCUCUGGUGCCUUGGGCCCACCACGCCGUGACACUGGCCAGAGCUGUGCAGCCCACAGCGUCCCAUCCCGUGGCCGGCCGGUGGACAUCAGGGUCAGCUGCCUCGGAGAGGGCGUGGGUGACUCACCUGCUUGCGGAGGGAGGACUUGCAGCCGCUUUCCUCUUCCAGGUCACAGGGAAGAGGUGUGUUUUUGCGGGGGCGUGUCCCGGCUGACCUUGAUGACGCGUCACAGCACGUUCUGCAGACCGCUGGCCCCCAGAGGCCCCCGCUGCCGUGGUGUUGCUUGAAAACAGUUGAGCUCGGUGUUUUAACGACUCUUAUCGUGACACCUAAGCACCACUGACCUUUGAGCGGCCUUUCCAGGCCAAGCAUCUUCCCGGUUUCCUGCUGAUUUGAAAGUUGGCGGCCUUAGGACCACUCGCUGUAUGGAGCUGAGCCGUGUGCCCCACACAUUCCUGAUUUAAGAGCAGGAUCGCUGCCCCACGCCUGGUCCCUGCGGGUAAUCAGAGCCGGUGUCUCCAUGGGGAGCGAGGUGGCUCACCACCCGCAGAUUGUACCGAGUCGUGACCCUGCACGGGUGCAGAUGAGCCAGGUUGAGUGGCGGCUGAUUAUCUGCCUGUCUCAGCAAUCAUUUUCUCAAUCAGGAUGAUUCUAAUUGGCUUUGAAAUCAGUUCUCUUUGCUCUCCAUAAGCAUCCACUUAUUUCUUGGUUCUGGCAGUGGAAAAGCAGAAUUGAAGUCAGCGUGUUCCCGUGACGGUAUCUGAGGGCCAGGAGUCGGCUUCCAGGAGACGGGUGUGGAAUGCGUGCGCCCCACGCGCUGGGGGGCCGUGUGGCCCUGGGUGGGUUUCAGCUGCACGCUUCCCCUCCCUUCCCUGGACGUCAGAGUGAGCGAGCAGGGGGCGUGGCAGGUGUUUCUGGGCGUUCCCCAAGGCUCAGAGCCCCGGCGUCCCAGGCGCUGCCCGGUGCCUGGUGGGCCAGGAGUGAGCCGUGGGGACGCAGGGCUGGCCUCCCUGCCGCACUCCCGUCCCGCGAGGGUCCCCGGCCGUUGGUGCCCACCUGCUGCCUGCCCCACGGUGCGGUUCACUCAGCUGUACUCAAAAGUGCCCACCAGUGGCUGCUCCCCGAGUGGCAGGCAGGGCUGCCCGGGCUCAGGAGGCCUCGUGCCUAAAUUACCAGAGGUGGCGCUGCUGCCGCCUUGUUCUGGAGAGCGUAGUUAAGGACGCGCUGCUGCAGGCGCUCGGUCCCGGGUUGGUUGGCAGUGCUGGGCAUGCGCCCCAGGGCCUCCCUCGUGCUAGCCAAGUGCUCCACACUGAGCUAACCCCACGUCCCUUUUUCAGAUUUAAUUUUGAGACAGGGUCUCACUGAGUUGCCCUGGUUUGCGACCUCCUGCCUCAGCCUCCCGAGUCACCGGGGUUGCAGGUGUGGCCACGGGCUGCUUCCCGCUGUCUUUCACACACUGGGUUGGGUGGUACUGUCCUCAGCCUCACUGUGACCACCUUCAGGCAUCCUGUGCUGUGAAUGGAAUCAGCCAAGUCCACCUGUUUUCCUGUGGCCUGUGAGUGAAGAAGUGCUUUGCAUUUUUAAUGUCUGCAACAAAAGAUCUGGAUGUUUUGCGACAAGCUCAAAUUAAGUGGGGCUCACAUUCUGAGAUCAUUAGUAAGCUCUUCCUGGCACACAGCCACGCCCACCUGCUUCUGCAGUGUCCACGGUGGCUUUUAGGUCGGGGCAAAGCUGCUGUCAGCCAGACUGGCCCCUUGCAGCUCCUGCCCCGGCCACUUCUCUCUGCCCGCCCCAGUGGUUUCCUCCUGAGGUGCUUCAGGGGCCAGAGGUCUGGCUCAGAAUGGGGAGCAGCUCUCUCCCCGCCAGGGAGCCCACUGUUCCUUUCUGUCAUCCACAGUGUUGCUGUCAAAUGAGGAGGAGGGGAACACGCAGCUCAGCUCCUAUUUUGCAGCAGGUGAUACAUAUUUGGCAAAUGAACAGUGAACAAUUCAGACUGAAGUGUGUCUAAUGAGCCUGGCCCCAGCCCGAGGCGCUUUCAGGUAGCUCGCUAUCUCCCUCCUCCAGGAGUCGGUUCUGAAGGGGGGGAUCACUCAGGGCGUUACCAGUUCUCCCCGGGGAAUACUAGGGAUCAGUAACUUGGCACCAGGUUGUUCAUUUAUUCCUCGUCUAUAAAAUAUUCAAGGGCACAAAGUGCAUAUGCAUUAUAAUUUGCAUCGUAGGCAGAAAGAAAACCCAGAGGAUUACUGAUAAAUAAAAGCGUGACUUCCCUUGUCCCACGGUUUGCUGAUGUUUCUGAAAGCAUUUGGGAAGAAAGGCGGCCGGCGCCUGGGUCGGUAGGGGACAGGUGAGCGACAGGAGCGUGCCGGGCCACAGCUGUAACAUGCAGUCACGCUCGGUGAGGAGCACAGGUGACCAGCAGAUUACUAACGGGCAGGCGGUUAAAUAGCACCAUUCAAAGUGCUGGUUUAGAUACUACAACAAAGCUGCCUCUGGCGCAGCGAGAGUGGCGGAGUGUCACCUGGGGAAUGGAGUACUCUCCCCACCAGCAAAGCAGCUCAACUUCGCCCUCUCUCCACACACUUCCGACUCUGCUAAAAUGCUUGCGGUUUGAAAGUGAGCACCACAGAAGAACAUUCCAGACUGUGUGUCUUUUAAAGCUAUCAGCACCGUUUGGUUGUGUGAAGGGGAAGUGAGAACAGCUUCCGCUAUUAGGACUCCUCCAGCCCAAAGCUGCUGGGCCUUCCGGACACAGGUAAGGGCUCUCAUUCGCAUGCAGCGAAUGCUUGGAUUUCAGUGUAGGUGUGACGCUGUCUCCCUGGACCAGGAUCUGGAACCAGUUCACUGGUGCCCAUGUCCUGGCCAGUCCGUCUGUCCCCAGGUGGCCUCUUUCAACACAGCAGCGGUGGCCUGGCCUUGAACCUCAGGGUCGCUCCCGUUGGCACCACGUCCAGGAAGACACCAGACCCUGGGCCGUGCCUUGGCACUGACUCUCCCAGGAGAGUGGGAGCUGAGGUUGGUUGAGACUGCGUGGUGGGGUUCACAUGGCACAGGGCUCAUGAGACGCACGCUCUGGUCCUUGGUGAAGCUCAUGAGGAGCCAGCCUCUUGGAAGACAGUUCAAGCCAAGCCAGCGGGCUUCUUUAGCGGGGCAGCCGUCUGUAACCUGAUUGUCCUGAUUUUUCUCCAGUGUAAAAUGUAUGCGGAGCGAUGGUGGCGGGUGUGCUUCGCAUUCCAAGAAGGGGAGACGGAGUUGAUGGGGAUGGAGGGAGGCUGUGUUUCCGCCUCUCACGGAGUUAUUUUUAUUAAAAACUGGCACCUUCCAGCUGGCACUGUGGCGCCCAGCUGUAAACCCAGCAGCUUGGGAGGCUGAGGGCAGGAGGAUCCAAGAUCAAGGUCAGCCUUACAACUUGUGAGACCCUGUUUCAAAAUAAAAGAAUAAAAAGGGCUGGGGAUGUGGCUCAGUGGUAUGUACCCCUGGGUUCAGUCCCCAGUGCCAAACAACAACAACAAACAGAGGAUUUCAUCUUUAUACAAAUCAGGUCAACCAAAUCCUAGCUCUCAGUGAAGCCCAGGCCGGGCCUUGUGUCUCGGGAUCCCUAGGUUGCAGCCACUCCUGCCUGAAGAACAGGGGCCGUGUCGGGUUAGGGUACCUUCUAGAGAAACCCUCACGCUGUGAUGGAUUUUAGAAGUAGAUUUGCCCCCUCUCUGAGGCGUUCAGAUCAGCAGUCACCCAUGACGAUGGGGAGUUCCCCCUGCUAACCGGGCGCAGCAAGGGGCCAGGGUGCCCCCAGUGAGCUGCUUCCUCCCACCAAGCACCCGGUUCCGGUUCCCACCAGCUCCCAGUACUGCCACUGAAUUGUGAGUCCCUCAGUGGAUUCCAGAAGGACAGGAGGGUCAGAGGCCCGUGACCCAGUCAUUCCCGGAGCCCGGCUCUGAACACUGCAGCAGGGACCAAGUCUUCGGCACGGCACCUGAGCCCGUGGGGACAUUCCGGAUCCAAGCCGUAGCACACACCCACACGCACACACAGAAGGCCCUGUGGAGACGGAGGCAGAAGUGGCAGAUGCUUCUGCAAACCGAGGGUCUCCAAAGACCGAAGACCACCACCAGACACUCAGAGAGGGACGUGGGGCAGAUUCUCCCAGAGCCUCGGACAGGACCAGUGCUGCAGAUGCCUCCUUUUGUACUUCUAGCCUCCAAACCAGGAGAAAAUACAGUUCUGUAGUCCUAAGCCACAAGUCUGUGACACGUUGUUAUGGCAGCCACAGGACACUCAUACUAGACAGUGGGCCCCCACGUUUAUGGUUGCAUGAUCCCCAGUUAUCCAAGUCAACUGUAAUCCAAAAAUAUUAAACGGAAAA